AAAACAGCCCACCUUUUUCUCGGACCUAAGGGGCAGAUUUUAUACUUAUGUCCAUUGAAUAUACAGUAUUAUUUGUACUUUAUGUAAGUAAUUUAACUGUGAAAUGUAAGAAACGACAGCAUCAUUGGUUAAGAUACUGCACUUAGGCGCAAUUAAGCUCCACCACCAGUUUGAGCAUGAUCUCUACGAGAGAUGAACUGUACAUGAUGGAUGAUUCCCUAGUUUAAAUGGUCGGUGUAUUUUAGUAACAUAAUCUAGUUAAUACGACCCAAUGGCACCCCAGACGAGUCUAGUGAGCAGCUCGCCCUCGAAGGGUCACCGACUAAACCGUAAAGACAUCCCAAGACAUGUUCAACCAUAGUUCUUUUAUUGCACAUCUAAAUCAUGACACCUCUCAGAUCUGAAUUUAUGCAGUGCUAAGCUUUCCUUGUUUUCCCUUGAAAAAAGAGAUUCCUUGAACUCCCAGCUGUCGAUUGAUCGAUGUACAAGGGCAUAUAUUAACUGAGAAUUUCUAAGACGGCAUGCAACCAAAACCGCUGGCUCUUCACAAACGGGUUUCGCACUUCGCAACUGAGAUGUCAGAUCCUCAAAAACUAUAAAAUUGUUGUACGAUUCAGAAGAGCUGCAGUGGAAGAUUUUAUACUUGCAGGAUUACACUUGUGUGCUGUGUGAAAAUUUACAGUUAAGAGAGCAGGGAACAUCUCUUCCUCUGAUGACCAUUUGCUGCAAGUUGCUGGUAGUAAAUUUCCAUGCACUCGAUCUAUCCAGGGAAGGCAUCAGUUCAGGCUUGCCUUCCAGUCCUUCAGAGAGCAGCUGGGCCUGGGCUGCGCAAACCUUUUUUGUUUCUUCAUUGAGGUGGCCGGCUAUUCUGAUCAGUAAGUUUGAAAUUUCUGGAAGUUAUAAUUUCCUUAAAGUCUGAAUUACCCAAAGUUUUGAAAUUUCCAACGUCCUGAAAUCUUGAAAAGUUGGAGCUUAUGCACAAAUUCAGAUCCUACAGAAUCCCACUUGUCUUCACAUCACAUGAGUUGGAGAGAGAGAAAAAAAUAUCAUAUUGUCUAUCAACAACUGCUAUACUUCGUUGGCUCAAGGUUCCAAAUCCAGAAGCAUCUAUUCUUUUUGGAAUUUCGGUAGUGUAUUUUCCUUCAACUUCUCCAGUGUACACCUUGGAGAGAUCAAGCAAAAUCAGCAGCCGUUCCCAUCAGCUAUCACACUUGACUACACUGUAAUUUCGGCCUCCGCUGUACGAGCGAAACUUGAUUUGUAGCGAGGUUUCGUCACCCUGCAAAACAUACAGCAAGAAUCUUAGGCAAGCCCUUCCACUUCCACUUCAAAGAUCAUUCUCCAUCACGUAAUCGUCUACUUGGGUACUACACCUCUGCCGAAGAGCUAUGCUAUGCUUAAAGUUCAUCAACGUUUACUAACCUUGUUAUGUCGUAUGUUCCAGCAGACUAUCCCAGCGGCUUUUGAGGAUCUCGUAAGCGUCUGGACAAGGAAGGGCUAUUACAGAGGAGGAGCUGCCGUUAGUUGACAGCUCGACCACCAGACCCAACCGCAACAGUGUCUCCAUAGCUUUGUCAAUAGGCAUUUCAAUCUACAAGGAAAAUUAGAAAUUCACUUGACAAUUUCAUGAUAACCGGAAAAGACAGACAGAGAUACGGAAGGUGUCACCUUUGCAUUAAAUUUCUCAUACAUAAAUUGCUCGCACAUAUCUCUGAUGCUUGCGCGAGAUGACACCUGCACAGCUGGAAUCAGGCCAAGGAUUCUGUAAAUUAAAUGUGACAAGUCUCGAGUACUAAAAGCAGCAACACAUACCUGAUACUUAUUUCUCCCGAGUAACAUAGCAUAUGCCAAGAGUGCUUCCUUAUACUAUACAGAAAGAGACAGUGAAGAAGUUACCUUACUCAACUGAGUGAAAUGCACAAAAAUUUAUGGUUUUGACUGUGCACUGAAUGUGCUACCUGUUGUUGCUCGGAAGCAUCUAGAAGAAAGUAAACUGAACCAAAGCCACUUGCUAAUGUCUUCUCGUAGAGCGUCUUAUUGACAAGAAGCUGGAGAAGAGGUAUUGAUGUCAAAUAAACUACCGUUUGCAAAUUGAACCAUAUAAUUUUUCGUUAUUAUCAAAAUAUAGAGCAACAUAAAUGAUCCACCUGAUAUCUAUCCCUGGUCUGUUUGUAGCCCAAUGUCACACGGAACACGAGUAUUGCAAGUGCAGUAAAAGCAGCUAGGUCAAGAAGGAAAGCUGAUCUACAUUACAUACCAUGAAAGAAAUGGAAACAAUGUCACUUGUUUUCCGAAAAUAAGGACUGAUAAGGUAGAAGCCUGGAGGGGGUUGCUAUCUGGCGUCAUGGUGACGUCGAUGGCAGAGUGGCCUGAUAAGGUAGAAGCCUCAAUAUCUGCUCUGAAGACGGACCAGUGGAAGAUGGCGGCGACGACACAUGUGAGUGCGUCAGACCAGUUCAUGCCCCAAACCCAGUAUGUGGCUCGGCUGGGGCUUCUGACUUUUGAUGAUAGGCUUAGGUGAGUGGACUGGGUAUUUGGCCAAGCUAGCGCCCCUUCAUCAUAUGGAUAGGAGUAGUGGCAUAUGAUGCCAAGAUGGCGGAUUCAGGCCUAUUGUUGUAAUACUUUGUAAGGUCCUCGAGAAUAAUCAAUAAAGUGGCCGCAUGCAUCUCCCAGAUGCGGAGGCCGGGGGCCAUCCUCCUUUUCUUAAAAAAAAGUGUAGAUGUAAGUGCGUUGUGUACACCUGCAGCAAAUUAAUCUAGCUUUUAGUUUCGGUCAGGUAUUUUGGUUACGCCAGCAAAUCAAAGUGUUGGAAUAAUCUACCUACAGCAUUGCCGUGUGAGAGAUGCAAUGCAGCCAUCCACAGAGUGGUAUGCACAUUGCUCCAACAGGAAUGACUUGACCGCUAGCUGGAGCUGGCCGUAACUCUCUCAUGCAUGCAUACUCUCCGUCAGGCACGCAUGGAAGCUUCUGCAGACUCUCAUGGUCUAGACUUGCAUGGCCAAGGUUGAUCAAUUAUUCUAUUCUUUGACAUGUAGGAGUAUUCCGUUAACAUAUGGACAAAGGUGGCGUGGUUGUGUUCAUGACUUCACCGUCGUUGUGCGCGAAAAACAUCAUGGCGCUGUUCAUGAACACACUUACGUAAUUUUAGACACUCCAUUAUAUCUGAGUAAUAAAGUAGCUAGAGUACUUAGUAAAAUUAUCAACUGGUAAGCCUAUCUAUGAAAUCAAUAAACUAUGAGCAACAUAUACUGUGAGAUGAUUUUAACACAUUACUGCUUCCUGCCUAUGUAAGUACCCCCUCCGGUCUUUUUUAAUUCGCAUAUAAAAUUUCUCUGAAGUCAAAUCUCGUAAAGUUUGACCAACUUUAUAGGAAAAAAAUACAAACAUUCACAAUGUGAAAUCAUUAUCACUAGAUGUGCCGUGACUUAAAUUUCCAUAUUGUAUAAAUUUAGCAUUGUAGGUGUUGAUAUUUUUUCAGAUAAAUAUAGUCAAAAUUUAUGAAGUUUGACUUCAGACAAUUCUAAUAUGCAGAGUAAAAAGGACCGGAGGGAGUACAUUAGUAUUAGUGCGGUGAAGAAAUGAAAAAAAUGGGGUUACUUCUCCACCGCAUAGGUUGUGCUUCUCCGGGAGCAGAAAAUUGGGAAGGCUUACGUAUAUCUUUUACAGUCAUUAUUUUAGCCUUGAAUGAUUCAUAGUCUCGUUCAACCGCUUCAUACGCUUGACCGAGGAUCGGCUUUUAAAAAUUAGUACUCCCUCUGUGAAGAAAUAUAAGACCUUUUAGGUCACUAAUGUAAUGAUCUGAAAGGUCUUAUAUUUGUUUAGAGGGAGUAUAUGAGAGAGAGGGAGUAUUAUCUUAGUCUUGGAUGCUUCAAAAUCCUUAGUACAAUUUCUAGUUCUUCGCUCUCUUUUUAACCAAAAAGAGCGACAGCACUCGUUCUACUGUCUGGUUUGGUCUACGUAUACAUCGAAUGUUUGGAAGCUAGUACAACAUUAUUGUGCCGUGUCAGACAUGCAACGGAGCCAUCCACAAAUCAGUAUUCACAUGCCUCCAACACGAAUGACCUGACCCAUAGCCUCCGACACGGAUCACUUUGACCGACCCCUUAGCACGGCUUCUUUGACAAGUAUUCCACUAACAUAUCGACAGAUGUGUGCUCAACUAUUUAAUGUGCUGCCAUCACCUCUCAGAAAUAAGAACCACAGCCAAUUCCAUCUAGCCUAGCUAGCUAGACAUGGAGAUGGACCCACCACCCAAAAUGCUUGCCUCUCUCACCAUGACCAUACUGAUGAUGAUGAUGGCCACCUCCACCGCACUUGCGUCGGAUGCAGCGGUGCUCGAAGGACAAGCAAGAGCACUUCUCGUCUGGAAAGACGGCCUCGACAACCAAAGCCAGCAAGCCCUGCACUCCUGGGGAAACACGUCGACGCCUUGCAACUGGCGCGGCAUCAAUUGCGAUAUCGGUGUGCAGCGACACCAACAUUGGCCGGUGAUCAGCGGCAUCUCUCUACGGGGUAUGCGGCUGAGCGGAGCUCUGGAGUCCCUCAACUUCUCAGCCUUGAGGACCUUGGCAUGCCUCGACCUCUCAAACAACCUCCUCACUGGGAGCAUUCCUCCUAGUAUCGAGGUCCUUGGCGAGCUCCAUGCUCUCCUUCUGCAAGGCAACCAGAUAAGAGGCUCAAUCCCACUAGGUCUAGGAAAUCUCACAAAAUUGCAUUCCUUAAUACUUCACGAAAAUGAACUCUACGGUGAAAUACCAAGCCAGAUAGGCAACAUGAGUAGUCUUGUCACCCUCAACUUGUCAAGCAAUCAUUUGGUUGGUCAUAUCCCUUGUGAAAUAGGACACAUCAAGCACUUAGUUGCAUUAGAUUUGUCCAAUAAUAAUCUUUUUGGCAAAAUACCAAGCAGCAUAGGUGGUUUGACCGAACUCACUAGCUUGUACCUUUACGAACAAACUUUCUGGACAAAUUCCACGAGAACUAGGUUAUCUUCUGAACUUAAAGGACCUACAACUUGGCAUCAACACCCUCUCAGGUUCCAUUCCACGAAAUUUUCAUAAUUUGACCAAGCUCACUGUGUUAAUUCUACAGCUAAACAAACUUUCUGGGUUAAUUCCACAAAAAAUAGAUUACCUUUCGAACUUACAGUACCUGAGUCUUAGUGAAAACAUACUCUCGGGUUCCAUCCCAAAUAGUAUAAGAAAUUUGACGAAACUUACAACCUUGUCCCUUGGGAACAACCAACUUUCUGGGUUAAUUCCACAAGAGUUAGAUUACUUUGCGAACUUAGAGUACCUGGAUCUUAGUGAAAACAUAUUCUCGGGUUCCAUCCCAAAUAGCAUAGGAAAUUUGACAAAACUCACUAUCUUAUAUCUUUACAUGAACCAAAUUUCUGGACACAUCCCUCGAGAACUAGGUCGCCUUGUGAACUUAGAGGAUUUGGAUCUUCGCGCUAACACCCUAACCGGUUCCAUCCCAAAUAGCAUAGGAAAUUUGGCAAAACUCACUAUUUUAUAUCUUGACAUGAACCAAAUUUCUGGACACAUCCCUCGAGAACUAGGCCGCCUUGUGAGCUUAGAGGAUUUGGAUCUUAGCGCUAACACCCUAACAGGUUCCAUCCCAAAUAACAUAGGAAAUUUGACCAAAAUCACAGCCUUGUACCUUCCCAGCAACCAACUUUCUGGAUACAUCCCUCGAGAACUAGGUUACCUUGAGAACUUAGUGGAGUUGAUGCUUUACAACAACACACUAACAGGUUCCAUCCCAAGUAGCAUAGGAAAUUUGACCGAACUCACAAGUUUGUACCUUGAUAAUAACCAACUAUCGGGGCACAUCCCUCGAGAACUACAUUAUUUAGUCAACUUAGACCACUUGGAGCUUAGCUAUAACACACUGACAGGUUCCAUCUCAAAAAACCUAGGCAAUCUCACAAAACUCAAUUACUUGUUACUUGACAAUAAUAAACUUUCCGGCCACAUUCCCCGAGAAUUAGGUUAUUUGGUCAACUUAGAGUCCUUGUCUCUUAGAAAUAAUUCACUAACUGGUCCCAUCCCAAAUAGCCUUGGCAAUCUGACAAAACUGUAUAAAUUGGACUUUGGCCAGAACCAACUUUCCCGGCAAAUUUCAUGAGAAUAGGUUGGUUGUUGAAUUUGGAGUACCUAGAGCUUACCAACAACACACUUAACAUAGACUUUCUUGUAGUAGAAUUAUCUUUAUGGAAAAUUUGACAAGAAGUAGAAGGUGCACCAUCCUCAUCGACCCCUGCUGCUGCUCCUCUCCCGCACGGGGCCAAACCCCUGCGCCAGCUCCGCUGCCGUGGCACAAGCACCUCCUCACGGUGGCCCACUCCAACUGCUNNNNNNNNNNNNNNNNNNNNNNNNNNNNNNNNNNNNNNNNNNNNNNNNNNNNNNNNNNNNNNNNNNNNNNNNNNNNNNNNNNNNNNNNNNNNNNNNNNNNNNNNNNNNNNNNNNNNNNNNNNNNNNNNNNNNNNNNNNNNNNNNNNNNNNNNNNNNNNNNNNNNNNNNNNNNNNNNNNNNNNNNNNNNNNNNNNNNNNNNNNNNNNNNNNNNNNNNNNNNNNNNNNNNNNNNNNNNNNNNNNNNNNNACGCCCUCGCCGCUGGGUCACUCAACAUCAGCGCGCUCACCAGCGACUAGGCCACCGUCGCUGCAGCGUCCGCGCUGGUGGCCCUCGCCCUCGCCGCCUUCUUCGACUGCUGCACGACCCAUCUCGCCUGUGCCACCGAUGUCGUUGACCUGCUCUCAUGCGAGGACGCGCGCCUGGGCUCCCCGCAGCGCCCGUCGCGUCCAAGGACAGGGCCGACGUCGCCACCAACCUCAGGAGUGAGGAGGCUCCUACUAGGGUCCUCCAACUGCGCGGCCACCGGCGUCCCUACAGCGGUCUUGUUCUCCAAGGUGCCCGCCGUGCACGGGGCCUUCCGGGAUUCGGCGUGGGCCCUCCACGCCUGGGUGCGCGGCGAGCUCAAUGGUCCGGUAGACCGGUACUGAAGCUCGGGAACCAAGGAGGAGACUUUGAUACUGAUGACACUGGUGCAACCUCAGCACUGCUCCCUGCACUUGUCCUACAGAGACUACAGGGUAAAGUGAAGAAAGCUACGGAGAGCAGUGA
rnacentral:lncRNA from 1 species